UAUUACUUGGUCCUGUAUUGCAAUUAAA
rnacentral:sRNA from 1 species